CCCGAGGAAAAGAAAUCAACCGAGAUUCCCCCAGUAGCGGCGAGCGAACGGGGAGGAGCCCAGAGCCUGAAUCAGCAUGUGUGUUAGUGGAAGCGUCUGGAAAGGCGCGCGAUACAGGGUGACAGCCCCGUACACAAAAGCGCAUGUGCUGUGAGCUCGAUGAGUAGGGCGGGACACGUGGUAUCCUGUCUGAAUAUGGGGGGACCAUCCUCCAAGGCUAAAUACUCCUGACUGACCGAUAGUGAACCAGUACCGUGAGGGAAAGGCGAAAAGAACCCCGGCGAGGGGAGUGAAAAAGAACCUGAAACCGUGUACGUACAAGCAGUGGGAGCACAGGUUUACCUGUGUGACUGCGUACCUUUUGUAUAAUGGGUCAGCGACUUAUAUUCUGUAGCAAGGUUAACCGUAUAGGGGAGCCGGAGGGAAACCGAGUCUUAACCGGGCGUUAAGUUGCAGGGUAUAGACCCGAAACCCGGUGAUCUAGCCAUGGGCAGGUUGAAGGUUGGGUAACACUAACUGGAGGACCGAACCGACUAAUGUUGAAAAAUUAGCGGAUGACCUGUGGCUGGGGGUGAAAGGCCAAUCAAACCGGGAGAUAGCUGGUUCUCCCCGAAAGCUAUUUAGGUAGCGCCUCGUGAAUUCAUCUCCGGGGGUAGAGCACUGUUUCGGCUAGGGGGCCAUCCCGGCUUACCAACCCGAUGCAAACUGCGAAUACCGGAGAAUGUUAUCACGGGAGACACACGGCGGGUGCUAACGUCCGUCGUGAAGAGGGAAACAACCCAGACCGCCAGCUAAGGUCCCAAAGUCAUGGUUAAGUGGGAAACGAUGUGGGAAGGCCCAGACAGCCAGGAUGUUGGCUUAGAAGCAGCCAUCAUUUAAAGAAAGCGUAAUAGCUCACUGGUCGAGUCGGCCUGCGCGGAAGAUGUAACGGGGCUAAACCAUGCACCGAAGCUGCGGCAGCGACACUCAGGUGUUGUUGGGUAGGGGAGCGUUCUGUAAGCCUGUGAAGGUGGCCUGUGAGGGUUGCUGGAGGUAUCAGAAGUGCGAAUGCUGACAUAAGUAACGAUAAAGCGGGUGAAAAGCCCGCUCGCCGGAAGACCAAGGGUUCCUGUCCAACGUUAAUCGGGGCAGGGUGAGUCGACCCCUAAGGCGAGGCCGAAAGGCGUAGUCGAUGGGAAACGGGUUAAUAUUCCCGUACUUGGUGUUACUGCGAAGGGGGGGACGGAGAAGGCUAUGUUGGCCGGGCGACGGUUGUCCCGGUUUAAGCGUGUAGGUGUGUGUUCCAGGUAAAUCCGGUUCACUUUAACACUGAGGCGUGACGACGAGGCACUACGGUGCUGAAGCAACAAAUGCCCUGCUUCCAGGAAAAGCCUCUAAGCAUCAGGUAACAUCAAAUCGUACCCCAAACCGACACAGGUGGUCAGGUAGAGAAUACCAAGGCGCUUGAGAGAACUCGGGUGAAGGAACUAGGCAAAAUGGUGCCGUAACUUCGGGAGAAGGCACGCUGACACGUAGGUGAAGUGAUUUACUCAUGGAGCUGAAGUCAGUCGAAGAUACCAGCUGGCUGCAACUGUUUAUUAAAAACACAGCACUGUGCAAACACGAAAGUGGACGUAUACGGUGUGACGCCUGCCCGGUGCCGGAAGGUUAAUUGAUGGGGUCAGCGCAAGCGAAGCUCCUGAUCGAAGCCCCGGUAAACGGCGGCCGUAACUAUAACGGUCCUAAGGUAGCGAAAUUCCUUGUCGGGUAAGUUCCGACCUGCACGAAUGGCGUAAUGAUGGCCAGGCUGUCUCCACCCGAGACUCAGUGAAAUUGAACUCGCUGUGAAGAUGCAGUGUACCCGCGGCAAGACGGAAAGACCCCGUGAACCUUUACUAUAGCUUGACACUGAACAUUGAGCCUUGAUGUGUAGGAUAGGUGGGAGGCUUUGAAGUGUGGACGCCAGUCUGCAUGGAGCCGACCUUGAAAUACCACCCUUUAAUGUUUGAUGUUCUAACGUGGACCCGUUACCCGGGUUGCGGACAGUGUCUGGUGGGUAGUUUGACUGGGGCGGUCUCCUCCUAAAGAGUAACGGAGGAGCACGAAGGUUGGCUAAUCCUGGUCGGACAUCAGGAGGUUAGUGCAAUGGCAUAAGCCAGCUUGACUGCGAGCGUGACGGCGCGAGCAGGUGCGAAAGCAGGUCAUAGUGAUCCGGUGGUUCUGAAUGGAAGGGCCAUCGCUCAACGGAUAAAAGGUACUCCGGGGAUAACAGGCUGAUACCGCCCAAGAGUUCAUAUCGACGGCGGUGUUUGGCACCUCGAUGUCGGCUCAUCACAUCCUGGGGCUGAAGUAGGUCCCAAGGGUAUGGCUGUUCGCCAUUUAAAGUGGUACGCGAGCUGGGUUUAGAACGUCGUGAGACAGUUCGGUCCCUAUCUGCCGUGGGCGCUGGAGAACUGAGGGGGGCUGCUCCUAGUACGAGAGGACCGGAGUGGACGCAUCACUGGUGUUCGGGUUGUCAUGCCAAUGGCACUGCCCGGUAGCUAAAUGCGGAAGAGAUAAGUGCUGAAAGCAUCUAAGCACGAAACUUGCCCCGAGAUGAGUUCUCCCUGAGACUUUAGGUCUC
rnacentral:rRNA from 1 species